AUUCAUUCGGAAUCAAAGCUUUGUGUGAAAAGAAACAACUGCUUGGGCCCUAAUACAUCUAUUUUUUUGCAUUUAUAUAACACAAAAACAUGAAUGAGAGGGUGUUGGGUGUCAAAAUAAUGUUUUAAAUGAUACACACAUGUACAUCUAAAAAUGGCAUUGGCUUUUGACACUAUUCACCUCCUUAUCGUUUCUUCUCCUCAAAAGUGAUUCUAAGCUCGAAUCCAAAGUGAUGAAACAGCGCCAUCGACUGGCAGCUGUUUCUCGACACCCUUUUCCUUGCCGAGCAGCUCAAAAAUAUCCUUGAUAAAUAUAUUUACCAGUAGCGGUAAACAUUUAGAUUCCGUUUGACGAAUAUAAACAUGGCAGAGAAUGAGGUAAGAGUUAACCUUUUCAUUUUGUAAAUUCCUGGGUUAGUCAUUUCAUGACAAAAUUCCCGUUCAUCUCCAUGGAAAGUUUCCAACUGUGAAAAUGCCCACAAUUUUGCAACCCUACUUCCACCACUGAUGAUGAAGAUCAAUCAUAAAUGAGUAAAAACCUGUGAGAUCUUCAAUAUCGCCUUAACAGACACUCGCAGUGCAUUCUAUCGAUCCGUUGUUGUGCUUUUGUUCAUUUGUCAAGUAAACAGCGCAAGCUAGCUAGCCUCCAUGUUUGCAGAGAAUGUGCAAAACGAGUGGUGGGUUACACUCGUUAAAAAACAAAACAGGAUGUGACGUGUUUUCGGAAAGGCCGGGCGACAUCUGUUGCAUCAACAUGUGUUGCAAUCAUUUCCGAAAAACAUUUGCCCACUCCCUACCAACACCACCCCCCCACCCAUGCCAUCCCCAGAAGCCAGGACAUCAUUUUUUAAGUGGUUAUACUUCUUUUUUUAUUAUAAUGUUAUUAUUAUUAUAAUUAUUAUCAGUUUUUUAUCAGUAUUAUCAUUAUUAUUAUUAUUUUGACUGUUGUAUGAUUUGGCAACGCAUUUUUAGCUCUUUAUCCGAUUUUACGCCAAAGGGUUAAGCCUUGGUUUGUUUUGCCUUUUUUGCCUUUUUGUUUUUUGGGCUUUUUUUCCCCGUCAUUUGGCGUUUCAUCGUGGUUCCUCCGCACUCGAGAGGAAUACGGCGAAGCGACCUGUUAGUCGCUCCAGAGAAAACGCCUGGUUUUUAUUCUUCUGUCAAGUUUUAUGGUACCAAUUUGUACAAUUUUAAAAGUUCUUCUUUUUUAGUAUACAUGCAGAAUAUUCCAGUAUUACGACAAAAAAUCAUGUUACAAUUAAAAAAAAAAGAAAAAAAACAAAAUGAGUCAGCAUCACACUUAUAUUUUCUGAACAUUGUACUGUUGAUUUACUAUGUGCUUCAAUCUACGAAGCGAAAAAACAAACAAACUUUGAAAUAAAUGCUCUUUCUACGAAA